rnacentral:rRNA from 1 species
GACACGGUCCAGACACCUACGGGUGGCAGCAGUCGAGAAUCAUUCACAAUGGGGGCAACCCUGAUGGUGCAACGCCGCGUGGAGGAUGAAGGCCCUAGGGUCGUAAACUCCUGUCAUAUGAGAGUAAGGCAUAUGUGUUAAUACCAUGUAUGUUUGAUAGUAUCAUAAGAGGAAGGGACGGCUAACUUCGUGCCAGCAGCCGCGGUAAUACGAAGGUCCCGAGCGUUAUUCGGAAUCACUGGGCGUAAAGAGUACGUAGGCGGUUUGGUAAGUCAGGUGUGAAAUCCCGGAGCUCAACUCCGGAACUGCAUCCGAUACUGCUAGACUUGAGUAAUGGAGGGGCAGGUGGAAUUCUCGGUGUAGCAGUGAAAUGCGUGGAUAUCGAGAGGAAGACCAAUGGCGAAGGCAGCCUGCUGGACAUUUACUGACGCUGAGGUACGAAGGCUAGGGUAGCGAAAGGGAUUAGAUACCCCUGUAGUCCUGGCAGUAAACGGUGCGCGCUUGGUGUAGGAGGACUCGACCCCUUCUGUGCCGGAGCUAACGCGUUAAGCGCGCCGCCUGGGGAGUACGGUCGCAAGACUAAAACUCAAAGAAAUUGACGGGGACCCGCACAAGCGGUGGAGUAUGUGGCUUAAUUCGAUGCAACGCGAAGAACCUUACCAAGGCUUGACAUGUAUUGCUAAGCACGUGAAAGCGUGUGACCCUUCGGGGACCUUACACAGGUGCUGCAUGGCCGUCGUCAGCUCGUGUCGUGAGAUGUUUGGUUAAGUCCAGCAACGAGCGCAACCC